rnacentral:tRNA from 1 species
GCCCUCAUCGUCUAGUGGCCUAGGACGCCGCCCUUUCAAGGCGGAGAUCAUGGGUUCGAAUCCCAUUGAGGGCGCCA